AUGCCAAGAGCAAAUGAAGGAAAACACAAAUCUAAAGGGGCUCCCCUGCCCAUCGUUUUGAUUCUUCAAAAGUUUCUGAAAACGUAUGAGAAGCACUGUGCGCAGUCUCAGACGUCUGUGUGUCCAGCCAUCAAAAGUGACCUGAAAAGCAGCAUUGACAGUGACCAGGUGCUCAGGAAGUUUAUGCUUGUAAGAUCUGAUGACUCCCCACCAAGAAUCCUACCAGUUUCCUUGGAACCUUUGCUCAUGACAAUUCAAGAUGAGUGUUACACACUGGCGAAAGAGAUCUGCAUCUGGGGCCUUCCACUGAGCAACCCAGAGAUUGCCAGACUUGCUUUGCUUCUGGAAUCGAAGGGGCACACCACCUGCCCGUUUACCACCCUAGAAAUCAUUGAUUGCAAAAUGGAUCUGUGGUCUCUAGAGCGACUUGGGAAGGCUCUGCGGUUCAGUAGUUUGCGUUCUCUUGUCCUCGAUUACUGCAAAUUUGGAAAGGAAGAACUUGAGAGCAUUUUCUCGGGCCUGGAGAACAACCAAAGGCUUCAAGGCCUCAGUCUGCGUUAUUGUGGUCUGGGAUCUCAGAGUGGACUAAGGCUGGGUUCGGUCCUCAGCCAGAGUGCCAUUUGCGAGCUGUACCUUGAAGGCAAUUACUUGGAAUGUUCUGGAGCACUGGCUCUUCUCAGGCCCAUAGCAGACUUUGCGGAGACACAGGGGAAAGACCAGCUAACCCCAGGCUCACCAGACGCUGGACAUCCCCCUCAGCGGCUCCAAGGAAUCAAGAAGAAAAUGGAAGGUCUGAUGGAAGCUGGUCCUUGGUUAGUGAAGUUGCAUUUGGCAGAUAAUGGCAUAGAUGGAAAAGGAAAAGAAGGAGAAAAUGGUUUGUCGGAAUUCAUUCAAACUUUAACAUGCCUGAUCAAAUACUCUGCCCACUUAAGGGAAAUUGACCUUGGAAACAAUGUUCUGGGAGAAAUGGCUGCUGCUGAAAUACUUGAAGCACUGAGAGCCAGAAAGACAGGUAAACUACCGGUCUUAAAAAUUACAGUCACUCCCCAGAUCUCUUCAGAUACCUUCAGAUCAAUUUGGAAAAAUAGCAAGAAGUCUAAUACUAUCCGUAAAAAGAAGAAAAAGACUAAAAACUGAAUAUGGGUGCUGUAUUUCCAUAUGGAUAUCAUCUAUUUCCACGGCCAAGCAGACAUGCCUAGAUAGAUAUUGCUUAUUCUAUAGUAAUAUUUUUCACUGUAACCAAGUCCCUUUCAAGUUCUCAAAUUUGAUGAUUAUUGUAUGAAAGUUUAAAGUAAUGUGAUAAUCCUAGCUUAUGAUGAUCCCAUCACACUUGUCAUUUUCUAAAAUGUGGGUUUCACAAGUAAGCCUUAGUAGAAAGAGAUGCAGUUCUCUGAGGCUUCAUCUCUCCUGUAUAUGAAAUUUAUAAGUUGAAGUAAGUCAUAAUUUUAUCUAAGAAAGAAAGAAUCCUCUUUCAUAAAUAUACCUAUAGUUGAGAACAAUAAGAAUGCUUGGAAAUAAUAACCACUUCCUAAAAGACACCAUCCCUAAAAAUGAGGAUCUUCCCUAAAUGAGGAAACUUUUUUUUUAAGAUGGGGUCUUGCUCUGUUGCCCAGGCUGGAGUGCAAUGGUGCAAUCUCAGCUCAUUGCAAACUCUGCCUCCUGCAUUCAAGCGAUUCUCCUGUCUCAGCCUCCUGAGUAGCUGGGAUUAUAGGCGUGCACCACCACGCCUAGCUGAUUUUUUGUAUUAUUAGUAGAGACAGAGUUUCACCAUGUUGGCCAGGCUGGUGUCGAACUCCUGAUCUCAGGUGAUCCACCUGCCUUGGCCUCCCAAAGUGCUGGGAUUACAGGCGUGAGCCACCGCACCCGGCCAAAUGAGGAAACUUCAAAUCCCUCUGCCCCACCAUGAAGAUGCAACACAGCCCCGUGAGAGAUGGAAGAGGUGUGGUUGAUUGAUGUACGGAUGACAGUGGGUGAGUUGGGUUUUAUAUGCCACAACAAUACGGUGCAGGAUGAAGAGCAUGGCCUGGGCAGUUAGAUGAACCAGAAGUCUCUGUAGAGGAAUUGCCACUUUCCAGGUACUGAGCCUGGGCAAGUCAGUUCACCUCAUGCUCCUCAGUUUCCUCUUGUAACUGAGGAACUUACUAUAUGUAAGAUAUAGUUAAGAGGAGCAGGGCUGGGUGCAGUGGCUCAUGCCUGUAAUCCCAGCAAUUUGGGAGGCUGAGACAAAAGGAUCGCUUGAGGCCAGGACUUCAAGACCAACCUGGGCAACAUAGUGAGACCCCCUAUCUCUACAAAAAAUUGAAAAAUUAACCAGCUGUGGUGGCAUGUGCCCGUAGGCCUCGCUAUUUGAAAGGCUGAGGCAGGGGGAUUGCUUAAGCCCAGCAGGACAGCGCUUCAAUGAGCUAUGAUUGCACCACUGUACUCCAGCCUGGGUGAGGAAGUGAGACCCUACCUCAAAAAAAAAAGGAAAAAAAAAACAGUAGUGCCUAUCUCAAUUGGUGAGCAUUGAAUGAGACCACACACGUCAGGCAUUUUAGAACAAUGCCUUGUUCAUAUUAUAUACUCAAAAAUAAAUAUGAGUGGCUCUUAUUAUUGCUGCUAUCAUUGUGGAUGUUAUAGAAUUGAGUGGUUCCAGUUAUUUCACCUAUGACAACCACACAAGAAACAUUGGAAAGAAAUGAAAAAAAGAAGACUUAAGACCUCUUCGCUUUGAAGUAAAAAUAAAAAACAAAAAAACAUUUAACAAGUGCUAGCAAGUUUGUGGAAUCAAACUAACUGUGGGGUAAGAAUGGCAUAGUAAAUUAGCUCCACUCUCCAGGGUCUUAGGAUCUAGUUAAGAAGACAAGAUCUUCGGCCAGGCGCGGUGGCCCACACCUGUAAUCCCAGCACUUUGGGAGGCUGAGGCAGGUGGAUCACGUGAGGUCAGGAGUUUGACACCAGCCUGGCCAAUGUGGAGAAACCUCAUCUCUACUAAUAAUACAAAAAUUGGCCAGGUGUGGUGGCACAUGCCUGUAAUACCAGCUACUAGGGAGGCUUAGGCAGGAGAAUCGCUUGAACCCAGGAGGCGGAAGUUGCAGUGAACUGAGAUUGCACCAUUGCACUCCAGCCUGGGCAACAAGAACAAAACUCCAUCUCCCCCCCCCAAAAAAAAAAAACCAAGAUUUUCUUGCAUUAAAAGUCAACAAUAAAGUAUAUGAGUUGGAAAAAUAUGCGUCAUUAGGCAGGAUAAGAAAGGCCAUAGGACCAUGGAGUAACAAGAUCAAUGUAACAAAUGUAUCAGAACUGAUGGAUCCAAUAUGUGAGAGCUCCUGAGAACUGUUCCUGCUUAAAAGAAAUGCAAAUAGGCUGGGCGGGCGCGGUGGCUCACGCCUGUAAUCCCAGCACUUUGGGAGGCUGAGAUGGGUGCAUCACGAGGUCAGGAGAUCGAGACCAUCCUGGCCAACAUGGUGAAACCCCGUCUCUACUAAAAAUACAAAAACUAGCUGGUCAUGGUGGCGCAUGCCUGUAAUCUCAGCUACUCGGGAGGCUGAGGCAGGAGAAUGGCUUGAACCAGGGAGUUGGAGGUUGCAGUGAGCCGAGAUCGCGCCACCGCACUCCAGCGUGGUGAAAGAGCAAGACUCCAUCAAAAAAAAAAAAAAAAAAAGAAAGAAAGAAAGAAAAGAAAAGAAAAAGAAAAGAAAAUUUAAAAAGACCUUUUUUGAAAUUUGCCACACAUAUCCACUGGGUGGGAGUGUACAAUCAGUAUACCCCUUUAGCGGGUCUUUUGGCAGUGUUUAUUAAAAUGAAAAAUACAUAGCUUUCGACCCGGCCAUUCUGCUUUUAGAAAUUUGUUUACUGUCACAUGUGUGCAAGGAAAUACAUAUGAGGAUGUUCACUGCAGCACUCUUUAUUUUACAUGGGGAAUAACUAAAUUUUUCUCAAAGAGUUUCGGGAGAAUAAAUCACAGUAAAUGUAUGUGGUAGAAUACUAUGCAAUCAUUGAAAGAAUAAUGUGGAUACGUAAGUGCUUAUAUGGAAAGGCAUUCAAGUAACACCAUUUUUAAAAACAGGUAUAGAAUAUGUGAAAAAUUCAUACAAAAAUGAAUUGACGUAGUAUAAUCCAGCAAUUUCACAUGUUUGUAUGUAUCUAAAAGAACUGAAUGUAGCGUCAUUAAGAGAUAUUUGAACACCAUGUUCAAAACAGCAUCAUUUACAAUAAAUCAAAGGUGGAAGUAGCCCAAAUGUCCAUGGAGAGAUGACUGGAUAAAUUAAAUGUGAUAUAUACAUAAAAUGGGAUAUUGCUCGGCCUUAAAAACGAAGGAAAUUCUGACACAUGCUACAACAUGGAUAAACCUUUAAGGAUAUUAUGCUAAGUGAAUAAGUCAGUCACAAAAAUACAAAUACUGCAUGCCUCCACUUAGAUACUUACAGUAGUCAAAAUCAGAGACGGAAAGUAGAAUGGUGGUUGAGAGGAUGUAUGAGGAGGGAGUUAUUGUUUAAUAGGUACAGAGUUUCAGUUUUGCAAGAUGAAAAAGUUUUGGAGAUUGUUUGCACAACACUGUGAACAUACUAAACACUGCUGAACUGUACACUUAAAAAUGGUUAAGAUGGUAAAUAUUUUGCAUAUUUUACCACAAUUUAAAAUUUUUUUAAAAAUUGAUGCAUUGUGUGUCUGCUUGUACAUAUACAGGAAUUUCUGGAGAGUCUAUUAAUAGUACUUGGGUUUUUAUUGUAUUCCUGUUUUACUGUUUUUAUCAUUUGUGAGCUGUCAAUUUUUAAAAACUUAAAAUUGUUCAAUAAAUUAUGAUGAGCUUGUUAAACAUCAGUAACAGCACUCUUUGCUUGCUGUGUGACCUGGUGCCAAAAGUGCAGAAGAAGCGCAGUAAAUCCUGUGAUUUCCUGGGAGGACAUGAAUAUGUGGUGGCAAAGAGUGGCCAGCGAGAACACAAAGAUGAGUACAUUUUUUCUAAGCA
rnacentral:lncRNA from 1 species